GGGUGAGGAGCUGUGACUUAGCCCCUGUCCUUCCUCAACGCCACAAAGAGGGGGGUGCCCAAAGAGAAGGCCUGAGGUCCGGCAGCUUUAAAGGGGCCAGUCCUGACCCAAAGCCCUCUCUCUGACCACCCCUCACAACUCCCACAAACUCCCCUCCCAAGGCUGGGCCAGCAGUGCCUGCGGGGGGCUGCCCAGGCGUGGCCCUGCCAUGUGGGACCUGCCUGCAUGGCUCAGCAGGACCCAGUUGAGUCACUGACAGCUGGGUGCUCUCCCUCCAGCACCACGUGUCUCCCUGGCUUCAAAGGAGACCAACUCAGGGCCCAAGUUUCCUCAUGACUGAAAAAUGUUCCACCCUAAAGGACAUGAACAACAGCUUGCCGAGAAAGAAAGAGGACUGAAACAAGUGGCUUUUGAGCACAGGGAGAGACGCUUGGCCACGUACAGCUGCAGGCAGAGAUCUGGGAAACAGACUGUCAGGUAAAGCAGGUACAUGCACCCCUCUGCAGACUAGACCACACACAUAUUUAACACAGUCGUGGCAUGAGAUCCGAAGGCGUGAGAUCUGCCUUCCUGCCCCCAGCAUGCAAUGGUGAAACAGCAUUGCCUCUGGCUGGUGACCUCCCCUGGACUGUUACCACCUCUGCAGAAAGGGGGCAGUAACAGGACCUGCCGCAUAUCUGUUGUCAUGAAGACCACAUGCGCUAAUACACGUGGGAAGCCCUUAGCACAGCGCCUGGGAGAGCGUAAACGCUCGAUGCAAGGCAGAAGAAAGGCGUGUCCUGGUAAGACAGGGCCCUUCCGACCAGGGCUGGUACUAACGCUCCCAGCUCGAGAAUGUGAGCUUCGCGAGGCCAGAGACUUCGGUCUAAAUUGUUUGCUGCUGAAUCUGCAGAGCCAGGAGUGUACCUGGAACACAGUGGCGGCUCCAUCUGGUUGGACAAACAAAUUUUGGGCUUCCGGUUUUGCCCCCAUAUAGUUCAACCUACAUCAGAUGAUGCUGUGCCUUGGAACUCUCCUCGCUCAGAGUCAAAGCCGAAGUUCUCCACAGGCCCUACUGAUCUGUCCCUACCCCGUCCCUAGCAGACCUCUUCUCUUCCCACUCUUGCCCUCACUCACCCUAUGCAGACACACCAGCCCCUCAUGGCUCCUCAUACUCCUGCCUCAGGACCUUCACACAUGCUGAUCCUAUGGUUGGAACCAUAGAUAUCAGUAAGAUUUCUUUCCCCCAGAUGUCAGUAAGAUUUCUGCUUUUCAUCCAGGUUUCUGUUCAAAUGUCACCACCUCCAGAAAGACCGUCCUAGACAUGCUCCACUCAAUGACCUGAAAGGAUCUUGGUGAAAUGUUAAUUUAUUACAUUUUGGGUUUUUGUUUUGUUUUGUUUUGUUUUGGAGACAAGGUCCCGCACUGUUAC